rnacentral:rRNA from 1 species
ACAAUGAAGAGUUUGAUCCUGGCUCAGGAUGAACGCUAGCUACAGGCUUAACACAUGCAAGUCGAGGGGCAUCAGGAAGAAAGCUUGCUUUCUUUGCUGGCGACCGGCGCACGGGUGAGUAACACGUAUCCAACCUGCCCUUUACUCGGGGAUAGCCUUUCGAAAGAAAGAUUAAUACCCGAUGGCAUAAUGAUUCCGCAUGGUUUCAUUAUUAAAGGAUUCCGGUAAAGGAUGGGGAUGCGUUCCAUUAGGUUGUUGGUGAGGUAACGGCUCACCAAGCCUUCGAUGGAUAGGGGUUCUGAGAGGAAGGUCCCCCACAUUGGAACUGAGACACGGUCCAAACUCCUACGGGAGGCAGCAGUGAGGAAUAUUGGUCAAUGGGCGCUAGCCUGAACCAGCCAAGUAGCGUGAAGGAUGAAGGCUCUAUGGGUCGUAAACUUCUUUUAUAUAAGAAUAAAGUGCAGUAUGUAUACUGUUUUGUAUGUAUUAUAUGAAUAAGGAUCGGCUAACUCCGUGCCAGCAGCCGCGGUAAUACGGAGGAUCCGAGCGUUAUCCGGAUUUAUUGGGUUUAAAGGGAGCGUAGGUGGACUGGUAAGUCAGUUGUGAAAGUUUGCGGCUCAACCGUAAAAUUGCAGUUGAUACUGUCAGUCUUGAGUACAGUAGAGGUGGGCGG